UCCCAGCACUUUGGGAGGCCGAAGUAA
rnacentral:piRNA from 1 species